GAUGAACGCUGGCGGCGUGCUUAACACAUGCAAGUCGAACGGAAAGGCCAGUGCUUGCACUGGUACUCGAGUGGCGAACGGGUGAGUAACACGUGGGUGAUCUGCCCUGCACUUCGGGAUAAGCCUGGGAAACUGGGUCUAAUACCGGAUAGGACAAUGGUUUGGAUGCCGUUGUGGAAAGUUUUUUCGGUGUGGGAUGAGCUCGCGGCCUACCAGCUUGUUGGUGGGGUAAUGGCCUACCAAGGCGUCGACGGGUAGCCGGCCUGAGAGGGUGUACGGCCACAUUGGGACUGAGAUACGGCCCAGACUCCUACGGGAGGCAGCAGUGGGGAAUAUUGCACAAUGGGCGCAAGCCUGAUGCAGCGACGCCGCGUGGGGGAUGACGGCCUUCGGGUUGUAAACUCCUUUCGCUAGGGACGAAGCGUAUUUGUGACGGUACCUGGAGAAGAAGCACCGGCUAACUACGUG
rnacentral:rRNA from 1 species